rnacentral:rRNA from 1 species
UAAUACGAACCGUCCAAACGUUAUUCGGAUUCAUUGGGCUUAAAGGGUACGUAGGCGGCCCUGUUAGUCGGGUGUGAAAUCCCUCGGCUCAACCGAGGAACUGCGCCCGAUACUGCAGGGCUUGAGGGAGACAGAGGUAAGCGGAACUGAUGGUGGAGCGGUGAAAUGCGUUGAUAUCAUCAGGAACACCAGUGGCGAAAGCGGCUUACUGGGUCUCUUCUGACGCUGAGGUACGAAAGCUAGGGGAGCGAACGGGAUUAGAUACCCCGGUAGUCCUAGCUGUAAACGUUGAGCACUUGAUUGAGGAUCCCCCCAUAGGUUCUCGGUCGAAGCGAAAGUGAUAAGUGCUCCGCCUGGGGAGUAUGGUCGCAAGGCUG